rnacentral:rRNA from 1 species
CCUACGGGGCGCAGCAGUGGGGAAUAUUGCACAAUGGGGGCAACCCUGAUGCAGCGACGCCGCGUGCGUGAAGAAGGAUUUCGGUGCGUAAAGCUCUAUCAGCAGGGGAGAAAAUGCCGGUACCUGACUCAUAAGCCCCGGCUAACUACGGGCCAGCCGCGGCGGUAAUACGUAGGGGGCAAGCGUUAUCCGGAUUUACUGGGUGUAAAGGGAGCGUAGACGGCAGCGCAAGUCUGGAGUGAAAUCCCAUGGCUUAACCAUGGAACUGCUGUGGAAACUGUGCAGCUUGAGUGCAGGAGAGGUAAGCGGAAUUCGUAGUGUAGCGGUGAAAUGCGUAGAUAUUAGGAGGAACACCAGUGGCGAAGGCGGCUUACUGGAGUGUAACUGACGUUGAGGCUCGAAAGUGUGGGGAGCAAACAGGAUUAGAUACCCGUGUAGUC